UAAUAAUGAACAUCAUCAGGUUGACUCUGUCUGUCGUGAUGCUGAUUCCUCUGCUUCUCUUUACUCUGUGGAGCAGGAGGAAGAAAACUCUGAGCUCCACCUGUGAACCAAAUGAACGUGUGGAGAUGAUAGAGCUGGACUCUGGUUCUGAGUAUGUGAACGUCUCAGCCGUCCCUGCAGCACAGACAGAAGAC